AGCGGCGGACGGGUGAGUAACACGUGGGUAACCUGCCCAAGAGACUGGGAUAACACCUGGAAACAGAUGCUAAUACCGGAUAACAACACUAGACGCAUGUCUAGAGCUUGAAAGAUGGUUCUGCUAUCACUCUUGGAUGGACCUGCGGUGCAUUAGCUAGUUGGUAAGGUAACGGCUUACCAAGGCAAUGAUGCAUAGCCGAGUUGAGAGACUGAUCGGCCACAUUGGGACUGAGACACGGCCCAAACUCCUACGGGAGGCAGCAGUAGGGAAUCUUCCACAAUGGACGAAAGUCUGAUGGAGCAACGCCGCGUGAGUGAAGAAGGGUUUCGGCUCGUAAAGCUCUGUUGGUAGUGAAGAAAGAUAGAGGUAGUAACUGGCCUUUAUUUGACGGUAAUUACUUAGAAAGUCACGGCUAACUACGUGCCAGCAGCCGCGGUAAUACGUAGGUGGCAAGCGUUGUCCGGAUUUAUUGGGCGUAAAGCGAGUGCAGGCGGUUCAAUAAGUCUGAUGUGAAAGCCUUCGGCUCAACCGGAGAAUUGCAUCAGAAACUGUUGAACUUGAGUGCAGAAGAGGAGAGUGGAACUCCAUGUGUAGCGGUGGAAUGCGUAGAUAUAUGGAAGAACACCAGUGGCGAAGGCGGCUCUCUGGUCUGCAACUGACGCUGAGGCUCGAAAGCAUGGGUAGCGAACAGGAUUAGAUACCCUGGUAGUCCAUGCCGUAAACGAUGAGUGCUAAGUGU
rnacentral:rRNA from 1 species